rnacentral:rRNA from 1 species
AGAUUGAACGCUGGCGGCAUGCUUUACACAUGCAAGUCGAACGGUAACAGGCCUUCGGGUGCUGACGAGUGGCGAACGGGUGAGUAAUGCAUCGGAACGUGCCCAGAGGUGGGGGAUAACGCAGCGAAAGCUGUGCUAAUACCGCAUGUGAUCUGAGGAUGAAAGCGGGGACCAGCAGCAUGUUGGCCUCGCGCCUCUGGAGCGGCCGAUGUCAGUAUUAGGUAGUUGGGUAGGGUAAACGGCCUACCAAGCCGACGAUCUGUAGCUGGUCUGAGACGGACGACCAGCCACACGUGGGACUGACGACACGGCCCAGACUCCGAGGGAGCAGCGAGGUGGGGUAAUUUGGACGUAAGUCGGCGACGAACGCC